rnacentral:rRNA from 1 species
GUGGGGAAUCUUAGACAAUGGGGGAAACCCUGAUCUAGCCAUGCCGCGUGAGCGAUGAAGGCCUUAGGGUUGUAAAGCUCUUUCAGAUGGGAAGAUAAUGACGGUACCAUCAGAAGAAGCCACGGCUAACUCCGUGCCAGCAGCCGCGGUAAUACGGAGGGGGCUAGCGGUGUUCGGAAUUACUGGGCGUAAAGCGCACGUAGGCGGACCAGAAAGUCAGAGGUGAAAUCCCAGGGCUCAACCUUGGAACUGCCUUUGAAACGCCUGGUCUUGAGGUCGAGAGAGGUGAGUGUAAUUCCGAGUGUAGAGGUGAAAUUCGUAGAUAUUCGGAGGAACACCAGUGGCGAAGGCGGCUCACUGGCUCGAUACUGACGCUGAGGUGCGAAAGCGUGGGGAGCAAACAGGAUUAGAUACCCGUGUAGUCC